rnacentral:rRNA from 1 species
AGUGAACGCUGGCGGUAGGCCUAACACAUGCAAGUCGAGCGGCAGCACAGUAAGAGCUUGCUCUUACGGGUGGCGAGUGGCGGACGGGUGAGGAAUACAUCGGAAUCUACUUUUUCGUGGGGGAUAACGUAGGGAAACUUACGCUAAUACCGCAUACGACCUACGGGUGAAAGCAGGGGAUCUUCGGACCUUGCGCGAUUGAAUGAGCCGAUGUCGGAUUAGCUAGUUGGCGGGGUAAAGGCCCACCAAGGCGACGAUCCGUAGCUGGUCUGAGGGGAUGAUCAGCCACACUGGAACUGAGACACGGUCCAGACUCCUACGGGAGGCAGCAGUGUGGAAUAUUGGGCAAUGGGCGCGAGCCUGAUCCAGCCAUACCGCGUGGGUGAAGAAGGCCUUCGGGUUGUAAAGCCCUUUUGUUGGGAAAGAAAAGCAGCAGGUUAAUACCCCGCUGUUCUGACGGUACCCAAAGAAUAAGCACCGGCUAACUUCGUG